rnacentral:lncRNA from 1 species
ACGGCUGGAAGGAAUGAAUCAUGAACUCUGGAUGCCUUUGAAAUGGGGAAAGAGAAGGAUGCGGGACGCUGGGUGGAUGCUUCGCGAGAUGCUGGGAACUCGGCUGAACACGUGGACGGCUGGGAGAAGUUCAAAUGGACACACGAAAUGGGAAACAUGCUGCUGCUGGAUAUGGCUGCACCUAGCCGGCUAAUGCUCCUUCUAGUGUGCAACUGGGAUUGAACCAUGCAGUCGGC